rnacentral:tRNA from 1 species
GACAACAUGCCAGAGUGGUUAAUGGGUAUGAUUCGAACUUUCCGAAUUCCAGAUUCUGGUUUCCGGGUCCUGUACCAUCAUAUGGUUUCGGCCGCGGAGGUUCGAGUCCUCCUGUUGUCG